GGCCUGGUGGUGUAGUGGUUAACACGUCUGCUUUACAUAAUGAGAUUCUUGAUGUUUAGCAGGAGGCUCUCGUUCGAUCCGAAGCCAGGCCA